rnacentral:rRNA from 1 species
UACAGAGGGUGCAAGCGUUGUUCGGAAUCAUUGGGCGUAAAGCGCACGUAGGCGGUCUGCUAAGUCGGGUGUGAAAGCCCCCAGGCUCAAACCCUGGGAAGUGCACUCGAAACUGGCGGACUUGAAUGUCGGAGAGGGUGGUGGAAUUCCGAGUGUAGAGGUGAAAUUCGUAGAUAUUCGGAGGAACACCAGUGGCGAAGGCGACCACCUGGACGAACAUUGACGCUGAGGUGCGAAAGCGUGGGGAGCAAACAGG